GGGGGGGGGGGGGGGGGGGGUGGGGGGGGGGGGGGGGGGGGGUGGGGGGGGGGGAAGGGGGGGAGGGGGGGGGGGGGUGGGGGGGGGGGGGGGUGGGGGGGGGGGGUGGGGGGGGGGGGGGGGAGGGAGGGAGUGGGGGGAGGGGGUGGAGGGGGGGGGGGGGGAGGGGGGAGUGGGGGGAGGGGGUGGAGGGGGGGGGGGGAGGGGGUGGAGGGGGGGGAUGGGGGGGAGGAGAUGGAGGGGGAGG
rnacentral:lncRNA from 1 species